AACGUAGGACACAAGCGUUAUCCGGAGUUACUGGGCGUAAAGGGCGUGUAGGCGGAGAUGUAAGUCUAUUCUGAAAGCUCCUGGCUAAACUGGGAGAGGCGAAUGGAGACUGCAUAUCUAGAGUGAGGAAGAGGAAAGUGGAAUUCCGCGUGUAGUGGUGAAAUGCGUAGAGAUGCGGAGGAACACCAGUGGCGAAGGCGGCUCACUGGCCCGAAACUGACGCUCAUGCACGACAGCGUGGGGAUCAAACAGG
rnacentral:rRNA from 1 species